AGAGUUUGAUCAUGGCUCAGGACGAACGCUGGCGGCGUGGAUAAGGCAUGCAAGUCGAACGCGAACGGAAUGACUAACUCGUUAGAAGUUCCUAGUAGAGUGGCGAACGGGUGAGUAACGCGUGGAUAACGUGCCUCUCAGUGGGGAAUAACACAGGGAAACUUGUGCUAAUACCGCAUACGUCCUUCCGGCCAAGUCGGAAUGAUGAAAGGUGGGGACCUUCGGGCCUGCCGCUGAGAGAUCGGUCCGCGUCCCAUUAGCUUGUUGGUGGGGUAAUGGCCUACCAAGGCAGUGAUGGGUAGCCGGCCUGAGAGGGUGACCGGCCACACUGGGAUUGAGAUACGGCCCAGACUCCUUCGGGAGGCAGCAGUCGAGAAUCUUCCACAAUGGACGAAAGUCUGAUGGAGCGACGCCGCGUGAGUGAUGAAGGCCCUACGGGUUGUAAAACUCUGUCAGGAGAGAAGAAUCGCCGGGAUGCCAAUACCAUCCUGGUUUGACGUUAUCUCCAGAGGAAGCUCCGGCUAACUCCGUGCCAGCAGCCGCGGUAAUACGGGGGGAGCAAGCGUUGUCCGGAAUUAUUGGGCGUAUAGGGCGUGUAGGCGGCCUGGUCAGUCGAAUGUGAAAUCCCACGGCUCAACCGUGGAAUUGCGUUCGAUACUGCCUGGCU
rnacentral:rRNA from 1 species